AAACAACAACAAAAUACAUCCUAUGAUGUUUACACAAUAGAUAACAAGCUUUACAACAAAAAUAUGAAUGAUUUACGGAAGAAAAACUAACCUAAUCGAAAAAACCCUAAUUUCUGAAAAUCAACAGAAACAUGGAUGGAAACCGUUGAGGGUACCAUCGAUCGAACGCUCACGACGAGUAGAACCAGAAUAUACCCGCUCUGAUACCAUGUUAACAA
rnacentral:lncRNA from 1 species